rnacentral:rRNA from 1 species
AUUGAACGCUGGCGGCAGGCCUAACACAUGCAAGUCGAGCGGAUGAAGAGAGCUUGCUCUCUGAUUCAGCGGCGGACGGGUGAGUAAUGCCUAGGAAUCUGCCUGGUAGUGGGGGACAACGUUUCGAAAGGAACGCUAAUACCGCAUACGUCCUACGGGAGAAAGCAGGGGACCUUCGGGCCUUGCGCUAUCAGAUGAGCCUAGGUCGGAUUAGCUAGUAGGUGGGGUAAUGGCCCACCUAGGCGACGAUCCGUAACUGGUCUGAGAGGAUGAUCAGUCACACUGGAACUGAGACACGGUCCAGACUCCUACGGGAGGCAGCAGUGGGGAAUAUUGGACAAUGGGCGAAAGCCUGAUCCAGCCAUGCCGCGUGUGUGAAGAAGGUCUUCGGAUUGUAAAGCACUUUAAGUCGGGAGGAAGGGCAGUAAGUUAAUACCUUGCUGUUUUGACGUUACCAACAGAAUAAGCACCGGCUAACUUCGUGCCAGCCGCCGCAGUAACAC